UACGUAGGCAGCAAGCGUUGUUCGGAGUUACUGGGCGUAAAGGGUGUGUAGGCGGUCUUCUAAGUUUGGUGUGAAAUCUCCCGGCUCAACUGGGAGGGUGCGCCGAAAACUGGGAGGCUAGAGUACUGGAUGGGAGAGUGGAAUUCCUGGUGUAGCGGUGAAAUGCGUAGAUAUCAGGAGGAACACCUGUGGUGUAGACGGCUCUCUGGACAGUAACUGACGCUGAGACACGAAAGCGUGGGUAGCAAACAGG
rnacentral:rRNA from 1 species